rnacentral:misc_RNA from 1 species
UGUCUACGUUAAUAGUAAUGGCCAGCGUAAAUUUAAUGUUUCCAUAACAAUAUUUCGGCCAUCAGGAUCCACAAUUCUCAACAUAGUAGCAAAAAUCGUGGUUGACGCGAUUUAAGGUUAUGGGACCACGUGUAACCGGGAGUGAAUGUAUAAAAAAGGUUCAUUUUGAAAGAAUUGGAAAUAUGUUCUGAAGAGAUAAAAAGGCUGUUGGCGGAGCAGAUAAAAGGAAUCUGUAUAGUGAGGAGAACUAUUUUUGAAAAAAGGGGUGAAGAUGAAAAGACGAAUCAAGAUGCCAAUGGACGAUAAAACUAAA